AUGCUCACACCAGCCCACUGCCCCCAGGACAUGUUCCUCAUGAUCUGGCACCACAAAACCACCAUCUUCACAGACACCAAGGAGUUGAGCACCAUGUUCGAGCUGAAGCGCAUUGUUGAGGGCAUCCUCAAGCAGACCCCUGACAAGCAGCAGAUAUACAAGGACAACCAGCUCCUGGAUGAUGGCAAGAUGCUGGGUGAAUGUGGAUUCACCAGCCAAACAGCACAGCCACAGGCCCCAGCCACAGUGGGGCUGGUCUUCUGGGCAGAUGAUGCCUCUGAGGUCCUGCACAUCGAGCCCUUCUCCAGCCCACCUGAGCUGCCCAAUGUGAUGAAACUGCAGGACUCAGGAAGCAGCACCAAUGAACAACCUGUGCAGUGA